rnacentral:rRNA from 1 species
UGGGGAAUAUUGCACAAUGGGGGAAACCCUGAUGCAGCGACGCCGCGUGAGCGAAGAAGGCUUUCGAGUCGUAAAGCUCUGUCCUAUGAGAAGAUAAUGCCGGUAUCAUAGGAGGAAGCCCUGGCUAAAUACGUGCCAGCAGCCGCGGUAAUACGUAUGGGGCGAGCGUUGUCCGGAAUUAUUGGGCGUAAAGGGUACGUAGGUGGUUUUUUAAGUCAGGUGUCAAAGCGUGGAGCUUAACUCCAUUAAGCACUUGAAACUGAAAGACUUGAGUGAAGGAGAGGAAAGUGGAAUUCCUAGUGUAGCGGUGAAAUGCGUAGAUAUUAGGAGGAAUACCGGUGGCGAAGGCGACUUUCUGGACUUUUACUGACGCUCAGGUACGAAAGCGUGGGGAGCAAACAGG